GGUGGAUCAACAUUUAAAAAAUUCAACUCUGAAAAUAUUAAAGUGCACGUGGAUAUUUUUUAAAAAGAAAUGCAAAAUAAACAUGAAACUUCAAGGCAACAGACAGAUGCUGCUACAAAGAGACCAAUCAACAACUGCUCAGCAGAGAUACAGAUCUGAAGCACAGAAGUGCAAUAGACACUCCUCAUGCCUUCGCCAGGAGCAUGGAAUUCUUCCCAGAGUCACAGAAGAUGGCACAGCCUGGGGACAAUCGGGAAUCACCUGGAGGAUGGCAGGUAGCACUGUUAUAUUUACUUAAAAAUUUGGCCAGGCAUGGUGGUUCACCCCUGUAAUCCAGCACUUUGGGAGGCCAAGAUGGGAGGAUAGCUUGAAGCCUGGAGUUUGAGACCAGCCUGGGC
rnacentral:lncRNA from 1 species